GCCCGGAUGGCGGAACUGGUAGACGCAAGGGACUUAAAAUCCCUCGGCCACUGGCUGUGCGAGUUCGAUUCUCGCUCCGGGCACCA
rnacentral:tRNA from 1 species